rnacentral:misc_RNA from 1 species
UGCUGGCUUUAACAAAGUCGGCUCCUCUUGAAUGCAUUAGCAAAACCCUGCAGAAGUGGAUAAGCUUUGGUUUGAUAAUUAUCUAUGCCAUUGCUGUGAAGCGUUUGUACUUUGAGUUGUUUUGCUUCUAAUCGUCAUCUUUGGAAGACAAUAUUUUGAACUUUGAUCUCAAAUCAGGUAGGACUACCCGCUGAACUUAA